rnacentral:rRNA from 1 species
UACGAAGGGGGCUAGCGUUGUUCGGAAUUACUGGGCGUAGAGCGCGCGCAGGCGGUUCUUUUAAGUCAGGGGUGAAAGCCCAGAGCUCAACUCUGGAAUUGCCUUUGAAACUAGAGAACUUGGGUACGGGAGAGGUGAGUGGAAUUCCGAGUGUAGAGGUGAAAUUCGUAGAUAUUCGGAAGAACACCAGUGGCGAAGGCGGCUCACUGGACUGGUAUUGACGCUGAGGUGCGAAAGCGUGGGGAGCAAACAGG